GAUGAACGCUGGCGGCGUGCCUAAUACAUGCAAGUCGAGCGAACGGACGAGAAGCUUGCUUCUCUGAUGUUAGCGGCGGACGGGUGAGUAACACGUGGAUAACCUACCUAUAAGACUGGGAUAACUUCGGGAAACCGGAGCUAAUACCGGAUGAUAUUUUGAACCGCAUGGUUCAAAAGUGAAAGACGGUCUUGCUGUCACUUAUAGAUGGAUCCGCGCUGCAUUAGCUAGUUGGUAAGGUAACGGCUUACCAAGGCAACGAUGCAUAGCCGACCUGAGAGGGGGAUCGGCCACACUGGAACUGAGACACGGUCCAGACUCCUACGGGAGGCAGCAGUAGGGAAUCUUACGCAAUGGGCGAAAGCCUGACGGAGCAACGCCGCGUGAGUGAUGAAGGUCUUCGGAUCGUAAAACUCUGUUAUUAGGGAAGAACAUAUGUGUAAGUAACUGUGCACAGCUUGACGGUACCUAAUCAGAAAGCCACGGCUAACUACGUG
rnacentral:rRNA from 1 species